AUUGCAAGCUGGCGGCAGUCCUCACACAUGCAAGUCGAGCGGAGCGGCUGACGGGUGAGUAAUGCCUAGGAAUCUGCCUGGUAGUGGGGGAUAACGUCCGGAAACGGGCGCUAAUACCGCAUACUAUCAGAUGAGCCUAGGUCGGAUUAGCUAGUUGGUGGGGUAAAGUCAUACCACGGCGACGAUCCUUAACUGGUCUGAGAGGAUGAUCAGUCACACUGGAACGGAGACACGGUCCAGACGCCUACGUGAGGCAGCAGUGUGGAAUAUUGGACAAUGGGCGAAAGCCUGAUCCAGCCAUGCCGCGUGUGUGAAGAAGGUCUUCGGAUUGUAAAGCACUUUAAGUUGGGAGGCGUUACCAACAGAAUAAGCACCGGCUAACUUCGUGCCAGCAGCCGCGGUAAUUC
rnacentral:rRNA from 1 species